GACGAACGCUGGCGGCGUGCCUAACACAUGCAAGUCGAACGGAAAGGUCCUGCUUUUGUUGGUUUCUCGUUUGGCGAGCGCGGGAGUAACACAUGAGUAACCUCCCCUUAACUUUGGGAUAAAUUCAGGAGACUCGGGCUAAUAUCCGAGAGGAGCUCCUGAACCGUGUGGGUCGUUGGAAAGAGUCGGCUGUUGUGGAUGUACUCGCGGCUUAUCAGCUUGAUUGUGGGGUAGUUGCGUACGAGGGGUUUGAGGGGUAGCCGGCCUAGGAGGGUGACCGGGCACAUGGGGACUGCGAUACGGAGCAGAAUGGUAUGGGAGGCAGCAGUGGGGAAUCUUGCACAAUGGGGGGAAGCGUGAGGUAGCAACGUUGCGUGCGGGAUGCUGUGUUACGGGUUGUAAACCGAUUUGGACUGUGAUGAAGACUGAGUGACGGUAAUGGGUCAAGAAGCACCGGCUAACUACGUG
rnacentral:rRNA from 1 species